rnacentral:tRNA from 1 species
GCGCAGCAGGAUGGCGACGUCCGUCAGGCUCGCGAUCUGUCCGGCGAUCGACGGGCCGCCCGGCCCCGGGUACGGCUGCCCGGGCAGCGCC